rnacentral:rRNA from 1 species
CCUACGGGUGGCAGCAGUGGGGAAUAUUGGGCAAUGGGCGCAAGCCUGACCCAGCAACGCCGCGUGAAGGAAGAAGGCUUUCGGGUUGUAAACUUCUUUUCGCAGGGGCGAAGCAAGUGCCGGUACCUGAGGAAUAAGCCACGGCUAACUACGUGCCAGCAGCCGUGGGAAUACGUAGGGGCCAAGCGUUAUCCGGAUUUACUGGGUGUAAAGGGCGUGUAGGCGGGACGGCAAGUCAGAUGGGAAAACCACGGGCUGAACCUGUGGCCUGCAUUUGAAACUGUAGUUCUUGAGUACUGGAGAGGCAGAUGGAAUUCCUAGUGUAGCGGUGAAAUGCGUAGAUAUUAGGAGGAACACCAGUGGCGAAGGCGGUCUGCUGGACAGCAACUGACGCUGAGGCGCGAAAGCGUGGGGAGCAAACAGGAUUAGAUACCCGGGUAGUC